AGGGUGCAGGGCGGAUGCCUUGGCACUAGGAGCCGAUGAAGGACGUGAUAAGCUGCGAUAAGCUUCGGGGAGUUGCACGUAAACUUUGAUCCGAAGAUUUCCGAAUGAGGAAACUCACUUAGAGUAAUGUCUAAGUAUCAUUAAGUGAAUACAUAGCUUAAUGAGGGGAACUCAGGGAACUGAAACAUCUAAGUACCUGAAGGAAGAGAAAGAAAUUCGAUUCCGUAAGUAGCGGCGAGCGAACGCGGAUUAGCCCAAACCAAUAAAGUUUUCUUUAUUGGGGUUGCGGACAUAUCAUAACGAAGAGGUAUCGUAAUUGAAGAGGUUUGGAAAGACCCACCACAGAAGGUAAUAGUCCUGUAUGUUAAACGAGAAGACUUCAGAUAUGAUCCAGAGUACCACGGGACACGUGAAACCCUGUGGGAAGCAGGAGGGACCACCCUCCAAGGCUAAAUACUACCUAGUGACCGAUAGCGUAUAGUACCGUGAGGGAAAGGUGAAAAGAACCCCGGGAGGGGAGUGAAAUAGAACCUGAAACCCUGCACUUACAAGCUGUGGAAGCACAUUUCUUGUGUGACCGCGUACUUUUUGUAGAACGGGCCAACGAGUUACGUUAAGUAGCAAGGUUAAGCACUUAAGGUGUGGAGCCGUAGCGAAAGCGAGUUUUAACUGAGCGUUCAGUUACUUGACGUAGACCCGAAACCGGGCGACCUACCCAUGAGCAGGAUGAAGCGAAAGUAAAAUUUCGUGGAGGUCCGAACCCACGAGCGUUGAAAAGCUCGGGGAUGACUUGUGGGUAGCGGUGAAAUUCCAAUCGAGCCCGGAGAUAGCUGGUUCUCCCCGAAAUAGCUUUAGGGCUAGCCUCAAGGUGAGAGAUACGGAGGUAGAGCACUGAAUGUCCUAGGGGGUAUUGCACCUACCGAAGACUAUCAAACUCCGAAUGCCGUCAUCUUAUACUUGGGAGUCAGACUGUGGGUGAUAAGAUUCAUAGUCGAAAGGGCAACAGCCCAGAUCGUCAGCUAAGGUCCCUAAAUGUAAGUUAAGUGGUAAAGGAUGUGGGAUUGCACAGACAACCAGGAUGUUGGCUUAGAAGCAGCCACUCAUUCAAAGAGUGCGUAAUAGCUCACUGGUCGAGUGAUCCUGCGCCGAAGAUUUCCGGGGCUAAAACUUACUACCGAAGCUACGGCAUCAGUAAUGAUGGGUAGGGGAGCUUCCCAUACGGGUUGAAGCAUGACCGUAAGGACAUGUGGACAGUAUGGGAGUGAGAAUGUUGGCAUGAGUAGCGAGAUGUGGGUGAGAAUCCCACAGGCCGUAAACCCAAGGUUUCCAGGGGAAGGUUCGUCCGCCCUGGGUUAGUCGGGACCUAAGCUGAGGCCGAAAGGCGUAGGUGAUGGACAACAGGUUGAUAUUCCUGUACUACCGAUAACCGUUUGAGAGAAGGGAUGACACAGUAGGAUAAGCUAAGCACACUGUUGGUUAUGUGUGCCCAAGCAUUGAGGCAGUCAAAGCAGGCAAAUCCGCUUUGAUAAUGCUGGGAUGUGAUGGGGAGCGAAAUUUAGUAGCGAAGUAGCUGAUUUCACACUGUCAAGAAAAGUCUCUAUCGAGGUUAAAGGUACCCGUACCGCAAACCGACACAGGUGGGUGAGGAGAGUAUCCUAAGGCCAGCGAGAGAACUGUUGUUAAGGAACUCGGCAAAAUGACCCCGUAACUUAGGGAUAAGGGGUGCCACCAUCCGGUGGCCGCAGAGAAUAGGCCCAAGCGACUGUUUACCAAAAACAUAGGUUUCUGCUAAGUCGCAAGACGAUGUAUAGGAGCUGACGCCUGCCCGGUGCUGGAAGGUUAAGGGGAUCUGUUAGAGCAAUCGAAGCAGUGAACUUAAGCCCCAGUAAACGGCGGCCGUAACUAUAACGGUCCUAAGGUAGCGAAAUUCCUUGUCGGGUAAGUUCCGACCCGCACGAAAGGCGUAAUGAUUUGGGCACUGUCUCAACAACAGACUCGGUGAAAUUGUAAUUCCGGUGAAGAUGCCGGAUACCUGCGACAGGACGGAAAGACCCCAUGGAGCUUUACUGUAGCUUGACAUUGGGUCUUGGUACUACAUGUACAGGAUAGGUGGGAGGCUUUGAAACCAGGACGCCAGUUUUGGCGGAGCCAUCCUUGGGAUACCACCCUUGUAGUACUGGGACUCUAACCAUAGGCCAUGAAUCUGGUCUUGGGACACUGUCAGGUGGGCAGUUUGACUGGGGCGGUCGCCUCCCAAAAGGUAACGGAGGCGCUCAAAGGUUCUCUCAGUACGGUCGGAAAUCGUACGUAGAGUGUAAAGGCAAAAGAGAGCUUGAUUGCAAGACAUACAGGUCGAGCAAGGAUGAAAAUCGGACUUAGUGAUCCGGUGGUUCUGCGUGGAAGGGCCAUCGCUCAACGGAUAAAAGCUACCCUGGGGAUAACAGGCUUAUC
rnacentral:rRNA from 1 species